UUAUGAAGAUAAAAAAGUGUAUGACAUAAGGCCCGUCUGACCGAGACGGGUUCGAUUUCAGAUGGACGGUCAAGAUUUACAGCUAGCCAGCCCGAUGGUGUGGUAAAAAAUUGAGAUGUUAUAUACACCUGAGUCAUAUCUUGGUGUCUGGUCUGGUUAAAUCCAUUUUGGACUGGUAACAUUUUGAAGUUACCAGCCCUGAUGUCUGGCUGG